rnacentral:lncRNA from 1 species
CACUACGAGCACAAACACACUGAGCAGGACACUACCAAUGCCGCACUUCGAACUGCUGGGCAAACGAAGAGGUGCAGAUGUCAAGGUCCGCACCUGAAUCAAAUGACGCACCUGAAGAAUGAACACGGUGAGAAGUCUUGUUAAGAAGAUUUAAAACAUUGAACCCUCGCCGAAAGGUAAGAUCGGUAGUUAUCCAUAUUUAUCCUUUCUGCAUUCCCUUUUCCGUUUAAUUAUUUACUUUCCUUAAAUAGAUUAUUAGUUAAUCAUGCUAUCUUGAAAAGAAAAUAAAAAUGUUAAAAAAUACUAAGCCCCA